GACAAAUAUCCUAUCUUAGAGAGACAGAGAGAGAGGGAGGCAGACGAAGGCCAGACGAAAUAAUCAGAAUCAUCAAGAGGCUGGAUAGUAGCACAUCACAUACAGAACUGCGAGGGAAGUUCAAGCUGGAGCAGAAAUAAAGACAAUGGAGGCUUUCAUAUCUAAGGGCUGUCUGGGGUCAUCACUGAACUGUGGGGCUGAGCCAAGACUGCGGGAACUUCCAUGUACAUGGUUAGCUACAUCCACCCCUGGGUGGAGUGAACCUUGGCACAGAAUCCUGACUGAGUGAGAACAUCUCAGACAGGAGAGCAGAGACCAGGUAUUGGGUGAUUUAUGAUUCUCUAUUUUCAUCUUUGGUCUUCUCCAUCAAUAAAUGUUUUAUAAUGAGUGUACACCAUUAAAAGAUAAAAGUAAUAAAAUCACAAUCCUUAAAGAAAAACAAAGAAGCCCAUAAAAAACUCCAAUCUUGAGAAAUCCCUUUUUGGCUUUUCUUAGGAUCCCUUAGGAAAGGAAUACCAGUUUGCCAACCCAAACUCAGCUCUCCCUCAGACUAAUUAAAGUGACUAAUCUCCCUGUGAGCUUUCUUCCCUGGCAAACUAAACAGAGUAAGAUAUCCCUGGUCUAACCCAGUAUGUUCAGAGACUGGAGAAAAUUGGGAGUUAGAACUAGUUAAUGAAGGGAAAUGGUUGGAAAGUCUCCAAAAGAGUACUACACAGAUUUUUUUCGAGGACGGAAACAUUCGGCAAGGGAGCUGGAUUCUUCAUACUGUCCGAGUGGUGUUUCUACUUUUUUCUGAAACCAGACAGAGUUGAAGACAAAUGCUCACAGCGGCUCCACUACCAAUGUCACAAUUCUUUUAGCCCCUCCCCCUCCCUUCCCUGGGCUCCAUGCACCCCUCAUGUCACUUUUCCACCUGGAAGACAGUAAUAUUUCAAGCAUCACAUCAUUGCACAGACUUGCGUUCAAUGCUAGCUACAGUAGGCUUAAGUGACAAAAUCAUUUACACAUGAGAAAAUGCUCCUGUGUCUAUUUAAAACGAAAUCCUAGGAUAGGAGCAUAACAUUCUAGCUGGCAGGAUUUAUACCCUUUCCAUCUUUCUUUUUUUCCUCCAAUUUGCAAAACGGGCACAUAUUAUGUAUAGAUACAGAAAA